UACGUAGGGGGCAAGCGUUGUCCGGAUUUAUUGGGCGUAAAGAGCGUGUAGGCGGCCAGAUAGGUCUGCUGUGAAAACUCGAGGCUCAACCUCGAGACGUCGACGGAAACCGUCUGGCUAGAGUCCGGAAGAGGAGUGUGGAAUUCCUGGUGUAGCGGUGAAAUGCGCAGAUAUCAGGAAGAACACCUAUGGCGAAGGCAGCACUCUGGGACGGUACUGACGCUGAGACGCGAAAGCGUGGGGAGCGAACAGG
rnacentral:rRNA from 1 species